AAUAGAUACCCCGGUAGUCCACGCCGUAAACGAUGAGUGCUAAGUGUUAGAGGGUUUCCGCCCUUUAGUGCUGCAGCUAACGCAUUAAGCACUCCGCCUGGGGAGUACGGUCGCAAGACUGAAACUCAAAGGAAUUGACGGGGGCCCGCACAAGCGGUGGAGCAUGUGGUUUAAUUCGAAGCAACGCGAAGAACCUUACCAGGUCUUGACAUCCUCUGACAACUCUAGAGAUAGAGCGUUCCCCUUCGGGGGACAGAGUGACAGGUGGUGCAUGGUUGUCGUCAGCUCGUGUCGUGAGAUGUUGGGUUAAGUCCCGCAACGAGCGCAACCCUUGAUCUUAGUUGCCAGCAUUUAGUUGGGCACGUCUAAGGUGACUGCCGGUGACAAACCGGAGGAAGUGGGGAUGACGUCAAAUCAUCAUGCCCCUUAUGACCUGGGCUACACACGUGCUACAAUGGAUGGUACAAAGGGCUGCAAGACCGCGAGGUCAAGCCAAUCCCAUAAAACCGAUUCUCAGUUCGGAUUGUAGG
rnacentral:rRNA from 1 species